GACGAACGCUGGCGGCGUGCUUAACACAUGCAAGUCGAACGGAAAGGCCUGCUUUCCCUUGUGGAUUGCGGGUACUCGAGUGGCGAACGGGUGAGUAACACGUGAGUGAUCUGCCCCCAACUUGGGUAUAAGCCUGGGAAACUGGGUCUAAUUCCCGAUAGGACUGCAGUGUGGUGCCUGUGGUGGAAAACGAUUUUCUAGUGGUUGGGGAUGAGCUCGCGGCCUAUCAGCUUGUUGGUGGGGUAAUGGCCUACCAAGGCGGCGACGGGUAGCCGGCCUGGGAGGGUGGACGGGCACAUUGGGACUGAGAUACGGCCCAGACGCCUGCGGGAGGCAGCAGUGGGGAAUAUUGCACAAUGGGCGGAAGCCUGAUGCAGCGACGCCGCGUGGGGGAUGACGGGCUUCGGGUUGUAAACUCCUUUCGACCGCGAGGAAGCCACCUGGUUGGAAGGGUGGUGACGGUAGUGGUAGAAGAAGCACCGGCUAACUACGUG
rnacentral:rRNA from 1 species